rnacentral:rRNA from 1 species
AGCCGCGGUUACACCAGGGACCCAAGUUGACAGCCUCACGGCAUAAAGGGUGGUCAGCAGGAAUAUAAACUAAAGCCGAACACCCCCAAAGCUGUAAUAAGCACUUGGGGGCGGGAAGACCACUCACGAAAGUAGCUUUAACCACUGCGAUCCACGAAAGCCAGGGCA